rnacentral:rRNA from 1 species
GACGAGCGCUGGCGGCGUGCUUAACACAUGCAAGUCGAACGGAAAGGCCCUGCUUUUGUGGGGUGCUCGAGUGGCGAACGGGUGAGUAACACGUGAGUAACCUGCCCUUGACUUUGGGAUAACUUCAGGAAACUGGGGCUAAUACCGGAUAGGAGCUCCUGCUGCAUGGUGGGGGUUGGAAAGUUUCGGCGGUUGGGGAUGGACGCGGGGCUUAUCAGCUUGUUGGUGGGGUAGUGGCUUACCAAGGCUUUGACGGGUAGCCGGCCUGGGAGGGUGACCGGCCACAUUGGGACUGGGGUACGGCCCAGAGGCAUACGGGAGGAAGGAGUGGGAAAUAUUGCACAAUGGGCGGAGGCCGGAUGGAGGACCGCCGCGUGGGGAAUGACGGCUUUCGGGUUGUAAACCCUUUUGGCUUGUACCGAGGGGGGAUGGAGGUAACUGGGGAAAAAGGACCGGGUAAAUAAGGU